GACGAACGCUGGCGGCGUGCUUAACACAUGCAAGUCGAACGGUAAGGCCCUUCGGGGUACACGAGUGGCGAACGGGUGAGUAACCCGUGGGUGAUCUGCCCUGCACUUCGGGGUAAGCCUGGCAAACUGGGUCUAAUACCGGAUAGGACCACUGCCGGCAGUGGUGGGGGGUGACAGCUUUUGGGGUGUGGGAUGGGGCCGCGGCCGAUCAGCUUGUUGGGGGGGUGAUGGGCUACCAAGGGGAGGACGGGUAGCCGGCCUGAGAGGGGGACCGGCCACACUGGGACUGGGAGACGGCCCAGGCUCCCACGGGGGGCAGCGGUGGGGAAUAUUGCGAAAUGGGGGGAAGCCUGACGCAGCGACGCCGCGUGAGGGAUGAAGGCCGUCGGGUUGUAAACCUCUUUCAGCAGCGACGAAGCGCAAGUGACGGUAGGUGCAGAAGAAGGACCGGGCAACUACGUGCCAGCAGCCGCCGUAA
rnacentral:rRNA from 1 species